rnacentral:rRNA from 1 species
AGUGAACGCUGGCGGUAGGCCUAACACAUGCAAGUCGAACGGCAGCACAGUAAGAGCUUGCUCUUACGGGUGGCGAGUGGCGGACGGGUGAGGAAUACAUCGGAAUCUACUUUUUCGUGGGGGAUAACGUAGGGAAACUUACGCUAAUACCGCAUACGACCUACGGGUGAAAGCAGGGGAUCUUCGGACCUUGCGCGAUUGAAUGAGCCGAUGUCGGAUUAGCUAGUUGGCGGGGUAAAGGCCCACCAAGGCGACGAUCCGUAGCUGGUCUGAGAGGGUGAACAGCCACAGUGGAACUGAGACACGGUACAGACUCCUACGGGAGGCAGCAGUGGGGAAUAUUGGACAAUGGGCGCAAGCCUGAUCCAGCCAUACCGCGUGGGUGAAGAAGGCCUUCGGGUUGUAAAACCCUUUUGUUGGGAAAGAAAAGCAGCAGGUUAAUACCCCGCUGUUCUGACGGUACCCAAAGAAUAAGCACCGGCUAACUUCGUG